rnacentral:rRNA from 1 species
CUGCAGGUUGAAGUUGCUUAUGACUGAGUGGCGGACGGGUGAGUAACGCGUGGGUAACCUGCCUCACACAGGGGGAUAGCAGUUGGAAACGGCUGAUAAUACCGCAUAAGCGCACAGUACCGCAUGGUACAGUGUGAAAAACUCCGGUGGUGUGAGAUGGACCCGCGUCUGAUUAGCUUGUUGGCAGGGUAACGGCCUACCAAGGCAACGAUCAGUAGCCGACCUGAGAGGGUGACCGGCCACAUUGGGACUGAGACACGGCCCAGACUCCUACGGGAGGCAGCAGUGGGGAAUAUUGCACAAUGGAGGAAACUCUGAUGCAGCGAUGCCGCGUGAGGGAAGAAGGUUUUAGGAUUGUAAACCUCUGUCUUCAGGGACGAAAAAAGACGGUACCUGAGGAGGAAGCUCCGGCUAACUACGUGCCAGCAGCCGCGGUAAUACGUAGGGAGCGAGCGUUGUCCGGAAUUACUGGGUGUAAAGGGAGCGUAGGCGGGAUCGCAAGUCAGAUGUGAAAACUAUGGGCUUAACCCAUAAACUGCAUUUGAAACUGUGGUUCUUGAGUGAAGUAGAGGUAAGCGGAAUUCCUAGUGUAGCGGUGAAAUGCGUAGAUAUUAGGAGGAACAUCAGUGGCGAAGGCGGCUUACUGGGCUUUAACUGACGCUGAGGCUCGAAAGCGUGGGGAGCAAACAGGAUUAGAUACCCUGGUAGUCCACGCUGUAAACGAUGAUUACUAGGUGUGGGGGGACUGACCCCUUCCGUGCCGCAGCAAACGCAAUAAGUAAUCCACCUGGGGAGUACGACCGCAAGGUUGAAACUCAAAGGAAUUGACGGGGGCCCGCACAAGCAGUGGAGUAUGUGGAUUAAUUCGAAGCAACGCGAAGAACCUUACCAGGUCUUGACAUCGUAUGCAUAGCUCAGAGAUGAGUGAAAUCUCUUCGGAGACAUAUAGACAGGUGGUGCAUGGUUGUCGUCAGCUCGUGUCGUGAGAUGUUGGGUUAAGUCCCGCAACGAGCGCAACCCUUACUGUUAGUUGCUACGCAAGAGCACUCUAGCAGGACUGCCGUUGACAAAACGGAGGAAGGUGGGGAUGACGUCAAAUCAUCAUGCCCCUUAUGACCUGGGCCUCACACGUACUACAAUGGCUGUAAACAGAGGGAUGCAAAGCCGCGAGGUGGAGCGAACCCCUAAAAGCAGUCUUAGUUCGGAUUGUAGGCUGCAACCCGCCUACAUGAAGUCGGAAUUGCUAGUAAUCGCAGAUCAGCAUGCUGCGGUGAAUACGUUCCCGGGCCUUGUACACACCGCCCGUCACGCCAUGGGAGUCGGUAACACCCGAAGCCUGUAGUCUAACCGUAAGGAGGACGCAGUCGAAGGUGGGAUUGAUGACUGGGGUGAAGUCGUAACAAGGUAGCCGUAUCGGAAGGUGCGGCUG